AAGACGAAUAGCUGUGUGUCGC
rnacentral:miRNA from 1 species